CAGUCGCCACGGUAAUACAGAGGGUGCGAGCGUUAAUCGGAUUUACUGGGCGUAAAGCGUGCGUAGGCGGCUAAUUGAGUCGGAUGUGAAAUCCCCGAGCUUAACUUGGGAAUUGCAUUCGAUACUGGUUAGCUAGAGUGUGGGAGAGGAUGGUAGAAUUCCAGGUGUAGCGGUGAAAUGCGUAGAGAUCUGGAGGAAUACCGAUGGCGAAGGCAGCCAUCUGGCCUAACACUGACGCUGAGGUACGAAAGCAUGGGGAGCAAACAGGAUUAGAUACCCCAGUAGUCCCCUGUCUCUUAUA
rnacentral:rRNA from 1 species